UACGAAGGGGGCUAGCGUUGCUCGGAAUCACUGGGCGUAAAGCGCACGUAGGCGGAUUUCUAAGUCAGGGGUGAAAUCCUGGAGCUCAACUCCAGAACUGCCUUUGAUACUGGGAAUCUCGAGUCCGGGAGAGGUGAGUGGAACUGCGAGUGUAGAGGUGAAAUUCGUAGAUAUUCGCAGGAACACCAGUGGCGAAGGCGGCUCACUGGCCCGGUACUGACGCUGAGGUGCGAAAGCGUGGGGAGCAAACAGG
rnacentral:rRNA from 1 species